CUCCUAUUAGAGAAUUACAAUCAGUCUUUAUGCCAGAAAAGCAUAAACUUGAGGGGAGAGAAAGGACAAACAGAAUGGGGUGGAUGAUAAGGAAAAGGAGAUAUAUGAGUCAAGAUUUCAUUAUGCAAGUUAAAUUUACACUCCUGUGCCAGGAAUAAAUAAACAUAAACAAGGAUUGCAGACCCUCCUCAUAUACAAAAGAUUGUAACUUCAUUCAACCCUACAGUCUAGCUGUCUGAUUUACCCUGAAUUUGUUCAUCAGCUCCCUGCUACCAGGCUUGUGUCUCAGCUGUCACCACAGCACCUACCGGUAUCUUAUCAUUCCUUCACAAUCCAACUCAAGUGCUAUCUUUUCAAAGAGCUUCUCAUAUUCUACUACUUGGAAUGAAUCUCUCUAGCAAAUUGCUGUAAAGUACAGUUUAGCACUUAACACAAUGUAUUUGGUUUAGGAUUGUUAUUUAUGUGCGUGUUAAGUUGCCCUCUCCACCACCAGCACCACAUUAUGAGCUGUGAGGCCAGGCACUGUGCCCUAACCAUCUGGAGUUCCCAGCGGUGCUUGGCCCACUAUUAGUACACUGUGUGCAUGUGUUAUGCUCAUGCAAAUACAGGCAGUGCACAACCUGGAGUCCUGCAAUUGUGACCAACACAUACAUAAGACUGACUCAACAAUCACCACUCCUCUUCUGCCUUUCAAGAAGGGUUGCUGCGCUCUCAGCUGCCUGCCACCCAAUUCCAUGAUGCUUGAGUUGCUUGAACUCAAAUCUUAUCGUAUAAAAGAGGCACGAAAUCUGCUGAUCUCAGUAGAAAGCCCCUGAAAGGAAAAUGGGACCUAAUGAAAAUCUGUGCUCUCUGCAAAAGGCGCAGCCUGCUGGAGGUGGGAGGAGCCUUGGACUGAGACCUUGGGAUGACAGUGAAUUAUUUAGCUUCUCUGAGCCUCAGGCAUUACUCUUAAGGCUGGAAGGCAGACCUGGAGAUAAGCUCUCUUGAAGUAUAUGGACAAAGACUUCGUACCCUAGUGAUGGCAGAGCCUGAAUCCCCAGUACCAUGGAGCUGCCAUACAGAUCCUGGCAAUUAAACCUGGCCUGCAGCAAGAAAGAAAAAUAAACUUCAAGUUGCUAUCAUUUGGAGUGUUUUGGAAUUGCUAAACUUUACUUUAUGCUCCCUCUCAGUUUGGAGGACAAUGUCAUGUAAUGAAACAUCAUGAGAUUUUGAAAAGAUACAGACCUGUUUUCAAUACUGAGUUUCCUGCAUGACUUUAGGCAAAUUCCUAAAAAUCUCUGUGUUGCUAUUGUCUCAUUCCAGAUCAUGUAAAGAAAUUGAGCAUAUUAGAUCGCACAGUAGUUGGUAAGUGACCAAUGGUAGUGGUAGUGGUUACUAUGAGUGUUUAUUAAAUGAUAUGACAUGAUAAUUCUUAGAAGAACCUGGUGCCAUUCAGUUUUGUCAUUAUUUUAGGAUAAUUUAUAGCUCUCAAGGCACUAAACUAUCACCACUUACUGAACUGGGUAUUUAAUCAUUCUCUAAGACUUUGAGAAUUCUGAAUGUGUUUUAAAUACAAACUCCUUUGCCCAUAUUCCAGACUCUAUCUUAUCAUCAGUGGGAAGUGUUUUGAUCCAGUGUAGAUUAGAAGACCAGAGUCUCCGAGUUUUAAUUCCCUGUCUGCUCAUAACUUUUGAACAGCCAUUGAGUUUGCACCCUGCCUGGGAUUAUGAAACAAAGCUAGGUAUUUUUGCAAAACUCGAUACUUGAAAUUUGGAAUAAGGUAAUUUGAUGAAAAUAUCAUGACUGAGGCAUAAAU
rnacentral:lncRNA from 1 species